CGCCUUUUCCAUUUCCUGGGUACAUCAUUUGAGUUACUAUGGUCCUUGCUUUCAUCAGCCUUACUUUCUUCAGCCAGCAACUCCUCAUAAUACUUCUCCACUCGACGUGCCUUUACCCCAACAAAGGCUUGCCAUACCUCUCCUCUGAGAUCCUUCGGCACUCCCCCAUGAACAAGGAACUCAAGUUCUUCUUUCCAAGAAAAGAACAUCUCUGGAGUCUCAUUGUCUGCUGUAUUUUCUUGUAUGGAUGUCUUNNNUCAGAAGUGUCCUUAACACAGACAUCCUCCUCAACGUCCUUGGCUUCUCCUGCAAGUUCUGCCUCUCUCGUUGAUAGAAGAUGACCUCUGCCUGCAGUGAUCUGAUNNNNUUUAUGUUCUUAACACGUGAACUCAUCAUUUUCUCGAGGGCAUGGAGGGAGAGUCUAAUCCUAGACCAGGUUUGAACUUUAGCGGCUUUUGAUUGUUUUAGGAGCAGCUCCUCCUCUUUAGUUUCUUUUGAAAGUUGCACCUCUUUUUCUGGUUCUUCCAAAUGCUGCACCACUAGUUCAGGUUCCUUUGAAAUCUGGUCCUCCUUUUUGAGUUCUUUGGAAAGCUG
rnacentral:misc_RNA from 1 species